UCCAGUGGAUAGCCUUCAGACAAGCUUCUACAUCAGACAAAUUCCAGACGGAUUUCUCUAGCAAUCGGACUCCAGCCAGAUUUCUCCAACAGAAAGUUUCCGUCUGGGCUUCUACAGUAGAUAACUUCCAUCUGCAGCAUCAAUGCCUAAGGCACCCAACAACAGUUAACCCGUCAGCAACCUCGGAAACAUCCGAGCUUCUCUUAGAUUGCUGAGACAGAGAGCUAUUCUGCUCCACCAGAC
rnacentral:lncRNA from 1 species